rnacentral:misc_RNA from 1 species
GGAAGGAUCAUUAUCACGUUUUAAACGUUUAAUCUUUGUGACAGAGUCCGUUAAGUAAAAUCAUUAAUUGCAUCUUUGGGUGUGCCAUUAUUUGAUUUUAUGGACUCAACCUUUUCAAGCUGUUAGCACACACUAUCUACCUAUGACUUUUAGCUUUGGGUCUUAAGUCGUAGCCUAUUUUACUGGUUUGCCAAUUUCACAGUAUACAUGACUUUUAGCUUUGGGUCUUAAGUCUUGUGCUGUGUCCUAGUGGCAAGCUGCUAUCAUAGUUGGGACUAUUUUACUGGCUUGCCAUUUUCACAGUUUUCAUGACUUUUAGCUUUGGGUCUUAAGUCUUGUGCUGUCCUAGUGGCAAGCUGCUAUCAUAGUUGGAACUAUUUUACUGGCUUGCCAUUUUCACAGUUUUCAUGACUUUUAGCUUUGGGUCUUAAGUCUUGUGCUGUCCUAGUGGCAAGCUAAUAUCAUAGUUGGCUGUUGUAAUGGUGAGCUUUUCUUGACAGCGUACAUGACUUUUAGCUUUGGGUCUUAAGUCGUGUGCUGUCAUAAGGGCAAGCCACUGCAAUAGUGUCCAAGUCGAUAGCUGUUCUAAUGGUCCAACCCCUUUUAACCCCCAACCUUAAAAAUCAAUACUUAUUUAAACAAACCUUGUUUAAAAAGAAUUGUCCUAAUGUGGCAUUCUUCUAAAACAAAACGUACAACUGUUAACAACGGAUCUCUUGGUUCUCGCAACGAUGAAGAACGCAGCGAAAUGCGAUACGUAAUGCGAAUUGCAGAAUUCAGUGAAUCAUCAAAUCUUCGAACGCAGACUGCGGUUUUGGGUUAACCCUGAAACCACGCUUCUUUCAGUGUCGCUUAAAUCAUAAUCUGCCGCGUGCUUGUUUUAUAAAUGAGCUCGUGAACAGGAAAAUGAAUGUCAUGCUGCUUGUCGGUAUGUCAUUUUAAAUUUAUUUGGGAAACUGAAAAUCAACAACAUUGUUUUUCAGCAUAUUUCUAUAUUGACAAUCUGGAUACUUUUCCCUUAACGGGAAUUCCAACUUGUCUUAUAGAAAUUGAAAUCAAUGUGAUCUUCUACCUCUCAAUCUUUGGAUAGACAUUUACUUGUCUAACUUUCAAUCUAGACCUGAAAUGAAGCGAGACUACCCGCUGAAUUUAAGCAUAUUAUUAAGCGGAGGAAAAGAAACUAACAAGGAUUCCCCUAGUAACGGCGAGUGAAGCGGGAAGAGCUCAACAUGAAAAUCGGUUUCCCAAACGGGCCGCCGAGUUGUAAUCUAAAGAUACGUGGUCUGCGUGCGACCUGGGUAUAAGUCCUUUGGAACAGGGCAUCAUAGAGGGUGAGAAUCCCGUUUAUGACCUGGAGUUCGCCGCGUACGAUACGUUAUCUACGAGUCGUGUUGCCUGGGAUCGCAACACUAAAUGGGUGGUAAAUUUCAUCUAAAGCUAAAUAUUGGCGAGAGACCGAUAGCGAACAAGUAGUGUGAACGAAAGAUGAAAAGAACUUUGAAAAGAGAGUUAAAAAGUACGUGAAAUUGUUAACAGGGAAGUUAUGAAAACCAGUCUAUCCAGAGGUAUAUUUACUAACUAAUCGGUCGCGACUUGAGAGUAUGGCGGCUUUACGGCCCUGUUUCUUUUGUCGGUCGGAUUCGAGUAGUUGGGUACUGUAUCUCAGGCUGUGUCAGCAUCUCUUUGGGGUGCCGGAGAAGCCCUUGAGGAAGGUAGUAAGCAUGCAGUUUCGGCUGUAAGUUUAUGUUAUAGCCUCUAGGGUUUACGGUGGCCUGGAGAGAGGAACAGAUAAAACACUCUACGGCACCAAGGCUCGGGAUACUGUCUCAUCUGGAGAGCAAAGCUCUGCUUUUGAAACGAUAUCUUGUAUGCUGAGGAUUCGCUAGUCGUGCUUUAGCGAUGUUGACGAAAUGGUUUUCAUUGACCCGUCUUGAAACACGGACCAAGGAGUCUAACAUAUAUGCGAGUAUUUGGGUGAGUAAAACCCUAAUGCGUAAUGAAAGUAAAGGGAAUUUAUUUCCUAAGGUAGGAAUCCCUCUUUUGAGGGAGGCACUAUCGACCGAUCGCCGCUUGCGGUAGAUUUGAGUAAGAGCAUAUCUGUUGGGACCCGAAAGAUGGUGAUCUAUGCCUGAACAGGGUGAAGCCAGGGGAAACUCUGGUGGAAGCUCGUAGCGAUACUGACGUGCAAAUCGUUCGUCUGAUUUGGGUAUAGGGGCGAAAGACUAAUCGAACCAUCUAGUAGCUGGUUCCCUC